rnacentral:rRNA from 1 species
AGUGAACGCUGGCGGUAGGCCUAACACAUGCAAGUCGAACGGCAGCACAGUAAGAGCUUGCUCUUACGGGUGGCGAGUGGCGGACGGGUGAGGAAUACAUCGGAAUCUACUUUUUCGUGGGGGAUAACGUAGGGAAACUUACGCUAAUACCGCAUACGACCUACGGGUGAAAGCAGGGGAUCUUCGGACCUUGCGCGAUUGAAUGAGCCGAUGUCGGAUUAGCUAGUUGGCGGGGUAAAGGCCCACCAAGGCGACGAUCCGUAGCUGGUCUGAGAGGAUGAUCAGCCACACUGGAAUUGAGACCCGGACCAGACUCCUACGGGAGGCAGCAGUGGGGAAUAUUGGACAAUGGGCGCAAGCCUGAUCCAGCCAUACCGCGUGGGUGAAGAAGGCCUUCGGGUUGUAAAGCCCUUUUGUUGGGAAAGAAAAGCAGAAGGUUAAUACCCCGCUGUUCUGACGGUACCCAAAGAAUAAGCACCGGCUAACUUCGUG